UGCACUUUUUGGUAAGAAGAUGUUAAUAAAAGUUGUUCGUCUUUAUGAGGGCUACAACUUUGCUUAAUAUCCUUUUAACAAAUUAUGCGUAUUUAAGGAGAUAGCACUGCGCAUGCGCAGAACGUAUCUCCUUAUCUUUGCACUUUUUGGUAAGAAGAUGUUAACAAAAGUUGUUCGUCUUGAUGAGGGCUACGACUUUGCUUAAUAUCCUUUUAACAAAUUAUGCG
rnacentral:miRNA from 1 species